rnacentral:rRNA from 2 species
AACUCUGGUAUUGAUUGGUGCUUGCAUCAUGAUUUACAUUUGAGUGAGUGGCGAACUGGUGAGUAACACGUGGGAAACCUGCCCAGAAGCGGGGGAUAACACCUGGAAACAGAUGCUAAUACCGCAUAACAACUUGGACCGCAUGGUCCGAGUUUGAAAGAUGGCUUCGGCUAUCACUUUUGGAUGGUCCCGCGGCGUAUUAGCUAGAUGGUGGGGUAACGGCUCACCAUGGCAAUGAUACGUAGCCGACCUGAGAGGGUAAUCGGCCACAUUGGGACUGAGACACGGCCCAAACUCCUACGGGAGGCAGCAGUAGGGAAUCUUCCACAAUGGACGAAAGUCUGAUGGAGCAACGCCGCGUGAGUGAAGAAGGGUUUCGGCUCGUAAAACUCUGUUGUUAAAGAAGAACAUAUCUGAGAGUAACUGUUCAGGUAUUGACGGUAUUUAACCAGAAAGCCACGGCUAACUACGUGCCAGCAGCCGCGGUAAUACGUAGGUGGCAAGCGUUGUCCGGAUUUAUUGGGCGUAAAGCGAGCGCAGGCGGUUUUUUAAGUCUGAUGUGAAAGCCUUCGGCUCAACCGAAGAAGUGCAUCGGAAACUGGGAAACUUGAGUGCAGAAGAGGACAGUGGAACUCCAUGUGUAGCGGUGAAAUGCGUAGAUAUAUGGAAGAACACCAGUGGCGAAGGCGGCUGUCUGGUCUGUAACUGACGCUGAGGCUCGAAAGUAUGGGUAGCAAACAGGAUUAGAUACCCUGGUAGUCCAUACCGUAAACGAUGAAUGCUAAGUGUUGGAGGGUUUCCGCCCUUCAGUGCUGCAGCUAACGCAUUAAGCAUUCCGCCUGGGGAGUACGGCCGCAAGGCUGAAACUCAAAGGAAUUGACGGGGGCCCGCACAAGCGGUGGAGCAUGUGGUUUAAUUCGAAGCUACGCGAAGAACCUUACCAGGUCUUGACAUACUAUGCAAAUCUAAGAGAUUAGACGUUCCCUUCGGGGACAUGGAUACAGGUGGUGCAUGGUUGUCGUCAGCUCGUGUCGUGAGAUGUUGGGUUAAGUCCCGCAACGAGCGCAACCCUUAUUAUCAGUUGCCAGCAUUAAGUUGGGCACUCUGGUGAGACUGCCGGUGACAAACCGGAGGAAGGUGGGGAUGACGUCAAAUCAUCAUGCCCCUUAUGACCUGGGCUACACACGUGCUACAAUGGAUGGUACAACGAGUUGCGAACUCGCGAGAGUAAGCUAAUCUCUUAAAGCCAUUCUCAGUUCGGAUUGUAGGCUGCAACUCGCCUACAUGAAGUCGGAAUCGCUAGUAAUCGCGGAUCAGCAUGCCGCGGUGAAUACGUUCCCGGGCCUUGUACACACCGCCCGUCACACCAUGAGAGUUUGUAACACCCAAAGUCGGU